GCAUCUCCGGGGCUGCCGCAAUUUCUCCAUGAAUUUGUCAAUGGAGAGGAACGAGUGCAUUCAAAAAUACUACAUCCACGAUUCAGCCUCAGUCGGAAGUUGAAAAACCUGUCAGUCACGUGACCUCCUUUUCAAACACGUUGCCAUGGCAACCACCUGGCAGCUGCAGACUCCAGUGCAGGGGAUGGUGGAGGGUGUGUCAGUCCAUCGCCAGCCAGGCAUUUUAAGAAAUAGACCUAAAAAUGAUCGAUCAUCAAUCUUCACCAAGAUGUCACUUGAUUGACAUUCUCGGCACCCGGGGGUCUUGUGAGAUGACGCUGGCUGCUGCCACAUCAUUAUUAAUAAAAAAUGACCGACAGGAAGGCGAGAAACACUUUUUAUUUCAACCGUACCUGCCGUCAAAAGCUUAAAGACUGACUGCACAGUUCCUGUCUUCACAAUAAAAGCGCUGCUCCAUCCUGCCUGCGCUAACAAAAUAAGAGUCUCAGAAAGCUAGCGUGCACAAGCUAGCAAGCUACGGAGUUUGUCGCCAAUGUAAUUCUUGUAAAGUGUAUAAAAAGGAGUAUGGAAGCUGGAUACUUUCAUGUGGUAUUGGACAGAAAGGAAGACUUUUUUUCUCCUCCAUUUGAAAAUGUGGACGUUAUCAUCACUACUGUCUGAUUCCAAUCAAUGCAAGUCAUCACAA